CAGUCGCCACGGUAAUACGUAUGUCGCAAGCGUUAUCCGGAAUUAUUGGGCAUAAAGGGCAUCUAGGCGGCCAGGCAAGUCUGGGGUGAAAACCUGCGGCUCAACCGCAGGCCUGCCCUGGAAACUGCGUGGCUAGAGUGCUGGAGAGGUGGACGGAGCUGCACGAGUAGAGGUGAAAUUCGUAGAUAUGUGCGGGAAUGCCGAUGAUGAAGAUAGUUCACUGGACGGCAACUGACGCUGAAGUGCGAAAGCCGGGGGAGCGAACAGGAUUAGAGACCCCCGUAGUCCCUGUCUCUUAUAC
rnacentral:rRNA from 1 species